GACGAACGCUGGCGGCGUGCGUAACACAUGCAAGUCGAGCGGUAAGGCCCUUUCGGGGGUACACGAGCGGCGAACGGGUGAGUAACACGUGGGUGACCUGCCCUUAGCUCUGGGAUAAGCCUGGGAAACUGGGUCUAAUACCGGAUAUGACUCCAUGACGCAUGUUGUGGGGUGGAAAGCCUUGUGCGGCUAGGGAUGGGCCUGCGGCCUAUCAGCUUGUUGGUGGGGUGANGGCCUACCAAGGCGACGACGGGUAGCCGGCCUGAGAGGGCGACCGGCCACACUGGGACUGAGACACGGCCCAGACUCCUACGGGAGGCAGCAGUGGGGAAUCUUGCGCAAUGGGCGAAAGCCUGACGCAGCGACGCCGCGUGGGGAUGACGGCCU
rnacentral:rRNA from 1 species